rfam:Schistosoma haematobium scaffold347_13, whole genome shotgun sequence.
CCCCGAUUGACGAGUCUCAAACAGGACGAAACGCUCGUCUUAGAU